CACGACUCUCGGCAACGGAUAUCUUGGCUCUUGCAUCGAUGAAGAACGUAGCGAAAUGCGAUACUUGGUGUGAAUUGCAGAAUCCCGUGAACCAUCGAGUCUUUGAACGCAAGUUGCGCCCGAGACCUUUAGGUUGAGGGCACACCUGCUUGGGCGUCAUGCUAU
rnacentral:rRNA from 4 species